CUCAGACUUCCUGUUGAUGUUUUUUUUUCUGCUCUGGGUAAUACCUCCAUUUAUACUUCCAAUGUCAAUGUGGAUUUUCCUUCGUCUUUUAUAGCAGCUGGCGAGCACGUUCACACCUGCGUGCUGAAGAUAACUCGCAUGUACAAAUGAGAUCAGAAACUAUUGUAGAACCGCAGAAUGUAUUAAUAUAGUUCAAUGGGAUUAUGGUUGAAAUCAUACUUUCCGUAAGCAUAAUGACACAAUAGCAUUAGCAUUUUUCAGUCCGUUGUUAAGAGCGUAAGCAAAAAGCAUGGCGCUGAUACCAAUAUAGUGAUGCAGGUAGCGAGGCAAGUAGUGUUAUUAGCAGUGCUGCUAUUAGCACAAUUCAGGCGGGUGGUGUUAACAGCGAUGGCUUGACUCUGCUGUACUUUGGCCUAUUUACAGGCAGGAACCACACAGAUUGCUGCUAAAAUCAGUCUCUGUCAGUGUGCAAUGAUAAAUUACGGCAUUGUUUGAGAGAGACAGAGAGUGAGAGAGACAGACAGAGGGAGAGAUAGAGAGAGAGAGAGAUGGAGAGAGGGAAAAAGAGAGAGAGAAAGGCAACGGGUGUAGAGACACAGAGGGAGGGAAUGAGAGUAUCUACCUCUCUUUCCUGCGCCUCCUGUGCAGCCAGCCCAGCCCCUCAUUUAUUUUCCACCCCAACUUGUCGACUUUAACGCCACAGAAGGAACGCACCUGUCUCAGAACACACAGCCUCAUACCCCCAGGUGGAGAGAAUACAGAUGGGAAAGCAGCUGAAUAUGUUGCCUCAUUGUACAGCACAGGUCCAACAGCCGACACUGAACAUCCAGCGAGUGUCUGACGACUGAAGCUCAACUUCCACAGUCUGACAGUUGAAUAUACUCCGCCUUUCGACCAGCAUUCGUUACCCAACAACAAUUUCCACAGUGUCAAUAAAGUUUCACCAGACAAA